rnacentral:rRNA from 1 species
GACGAACCGUGCGAACGUUAUUCGGAAUCACUGGGCUUAAAGCGCGUGUAGGCGGGACGGCACGUCGGUCGCUGAAAGCCCCCGGCUCAACCGGGGAAGCGGCGCCGAUACGGCCGACCUGGAGGGACGUAGGGGGGCCUGGAACUUCCGGUGGAGCGGUGAAAUGCGUUGAGAUCGGAAGGAACGCCCGUGGCGAAAGCGAGGCCCUGGACGUCUGCUGACGCUGAGGCGCGAAAGCCAGGGGAGCGAACGGG